rnacentral:rRNA from 1 species
AUGCACGCUGGCGGCGUGCCUCAUCCAUGCAAGUCGAGCGAACGGACGAGAAGCUUGCUUUUCUGAUGUUAGCGGCGGACGGGUGAGUAACACGUGGAUAACCUACCUAUAAGACUGGGAUAACUUCGGGAAACCGGAGCUAAUACCGGAUAAUAUUUUGAACCGCAUGGUUCAAAAGUGAAAGACGGUCUUGCUGUCACUUAUAGAUGGAUCCGCGCUGCAUUAGCUAGUUGGUAAGGUAACGGCUUACCAAGGCAACGAUGCAUAGCCGACCUGAGAGGGUGAUCGGCCACACUGGAACUGAGACACGGUCCAGACUCCUACGGGAGGCAGCAGUAGGGAAUCUUCCGCAAUGGGCGAAAGCCUGACGGAGCAACGCCGCGUGAGUGAUGAAGGUCUUCGGAUCGUAAAACUCUGUUAUUAGGGAAGAACAUAUGUGUAAGUAACUGUGCACAUCUUGACGGUACCUAAUCAGAAAGCCACGGCUAACUACGUG